rnacentral:rRNA from 1 species
AUUGAACGCUGGCGGCAGGCCUAACACAUGCAAGUCGAACGAGAGGCGGACGGGGGAGUAAUGGCUGGGAACCUGCCUGAUGGAGGGGGAUAACUACUGGAAACGGUAGCUAAUACCGCAUAACAUCAGAUGUGCCAAGAUGGGAUUAGCUUGUUGGUGGGGUAACGGCUCACCAAGGCGACGAUCCCUAGAGGGUCUGAGAGGAGGCCCAGCCACACUGGAACCGAGACACGGUCCAGACUCCUACGGGAUGCAGCAGUGGGGAAUAUUGCACAAUGGGCUCAAGCCUGAUGCAGCCAUGCCGCGUGUAUGAAGAAGGCCUUCGGGUUGUAAAGUACUUUCAGCGGGGAGGCGUUACCCGCAGAAGAAGCACCGGCUAACUCCGUGCCAGCAGCCGCGGUAAUUC